rnacentral:rRNA from 1 species
CAGUAAGUAUUCCACCUGGGGAGUACGUCCGCAAGGAUGAAACCCAAAGGAAUGGACUGGGGCCCGCACAAUCGGAGGAACAUGUGGUUUAAUUCGAUGAUACGCGAGGAACCUUACCUGGGCUUAAAUGCAGUAUGACCGUUCUCGAAAGAGAUCUUCCCUUCGGGGCAAAUUGCAAGGUGCUGCAUGGUUGUCGUCAGCUCGUGCCGUGAGGUGUCGGGUUAAGUCCCAUAACGAGCGCAACCCCUACCGUUAGUUGCCAGCGAGUAAUGUCGGGGACUCUAGCGGAACUGCCGGUGUAAACCGCGAGGAAGGUGGGGAUGACGUCAAAUCAGCACGGCCCUUAUGUCCAGGGCUACACACGUGUUACAAUGGUCGGUACAGUGGGCAGCUACCCAGCGAUGGGAUGCUNAUCUCCAAAACCGAUCCCAGUUCGGAUUGAAGUCUGCAACUCGACUUCAUGAAGGUGGAUUCGCUAGCAAUCGCAUAUCAGCAACGAUGCGGUGAAUACGUUCCCGGGCAUUGUACACACCGCCCGUCAAGCCAUGGAAGCUUGGGGUACCU